rnacentral:rRNA from 1 species
AUUGAACGCUGGCGGCAGGCCUAACACAUGCAAGUCGAACGAGUGGCGGACGGGUGAGUACUGUCUGGGAAACUGCCUGAUGGAGGGGGCUAACUACUGGACACGGUAGCUAAUACCUCAUACCAUCAGAUUUGCCCAGAGGGGAUUCUCUAGUUGGUGGGGUAACGGCUCACCAAGGCGACGAUCCCUAGCUGGUCUGAGAGGAUGACCAGCCACACGGGAACUGAGACACGGGCCAGACUCCUACGGGAGGCAGCAGUGGGGAAUAUUGCACAAUGGGGGCAAGCCUGAUGCAGCCAUGCCGCGUGUAUGAAGAAGGCCUUCGGGUUGUAAAGUACUUUCAGCGGGGAGGCGUUACCCGCAGAAGAAGCACCGGCUAACUCCGUGCCAGCAGCCGCGGUAAUUC